rnacentral:tRNA from 1 species
GCCUUCAUAGCUCAGUCGGUAGAGUGCAUCCUUGGUAAGGAUGAGGUCACCAGUUCAAUCCUGGUUGAAGGCUCCA